GGGCAGGGAGGUUCGACUCGAGCGAAGCGAGAGAACGUUGCGCCAGCAACGGCCCGCAGGGCGAGCCACGAAGUGGCGAGUAAUCCUCUAUCACCGACCA
rnacentral:sRNA from 1 species